CCCAGAUAUACAAAGUGUUUGGUGGUAGGUGUAGUCUUCACAAUAUCUCCUGGAAACCACCAUUCUACUCUCUGUUUAUGCACCCUGUCUGAUACCAAAUGUUUGUGAGAAUAUCUCCCACUUGCUUCAUAAGUCUUCUUAGAUCUAUUCAACAUUAGAAAUGGAGGACUGAGUUGACUAAUACAACCUGAGUUGGAGGCCAAGGCAAAAAGAGGAGGAUAAACUGUUGAAGUUCUGUGCCAAGAGUGAUGAACAGAAGUUAAUGAAAAAUAGAAAAAAAAAACUGCAUGAAGCUAAAAAUUAAAAUCUCAAUCAUGUACUGAAAGAUGAGAUCCAUCAGAAUUGCAGUAACACAUGCCACUUCAUGGUGUGCUGAUCAUGAAACAAGCAAAGAUCUAUCAUGAUGAACUGGAAAUUGAAGAAACCAUGAUGACUGUCCAACAGACAAAGAAAAAUGGAAGCUCUUUGAAAGGAAUAAUUUAGCAAGCAUCAUGAAGGCCCUGUUUCUACAACCCGACAUGGGAUUUGUCAUUUAUCACCACAUCCUUAACUCAUUGUAUUCUAUAUGUUUCACUGGACCCCACCCCAGCUCUCAAAUCCAUCUACAGCAGUUUGACUUAGAAGAAUCCACCUUAAACCAGGGAGUAGAAAUAUCAUCAAGUCAUUUCAAUCCUCCUGGUGUGUUGAGAACGUGUCCUGGAGAAAAAGCUUUUAUUGGCACUACAAUAACUGUGUCAAGACUUCAGUAUGGCGAGAAUUUGUUCUCAUUGUAUCUUGGAGAUUGACAACUGACUUCAGCUG